UUUGGGAAAAGUCCGCGAACAAAGCCGUUGGUCCGCGUCUCUGUCUCCCCCUCCAACUCCAACUGCACAUUUUUCUUUCAUUUCUCUUCCUUCCAUCUCUAAUUACAAUUUUCUAAUUACUUCGUUUACGCUUAAACAGAAAACAAAAAAAUUAAAUUCCAAAACUAAAACUCUUUGCUAGCUCAGCUCUGCGAGUUUUCACCAUCCACACCACAUAUUGCCGAUUCGAUCAUCUUCCCUCACUGAUCGAUCGGUCUUCCUCCCUACAAAGACACAUAUUCUGAGUUCUCGUAUGAAAAUUCGAGGUGGGUUUUUGUUAAGAUUUGCAUUUUAGACGAACAGAGAGAAUUACGAUGUCGAAUUUGGUGAGUAAUUUCAAUCAGAAGAUCGACUACGUGUUCAAGGUGGUGCUGAUCGGAGACUCGGCGGUCGGCAAGUCUCAGCUCUUGGCUCGCUUUGCUCGGAACGAGUUCAGCUUGGAGUCCAAGGCUACCAUUGGCGUUGAGUUCCAGACUAAGACCCUCGUGAUCGACCACAAAACCAUCAAAGCCCAGAUUUGGGACACUGCUGGCCAAGAAAGAUACAGGGCGGUGACAAGUGCAUACUACAGAGGUUCGGUGGGGGCAAUGCUGGUCUAUGACAUAACCAAGCCUCAAUCAUUUGAUCAUGUAACCAAGUGGUUAGAGGAAUUGAGGGCGCAUGCCGACAACAAUAUUGUUGUGAUGCUUGUAGGCAACAAGUCCGACCUGGGGACACUGCGAGCUGUACCUUCUGAGGAUGCUAAAGAGUUUGCCCAAAGGGAGAACCUCUUCUUUAUGGAGGCAUCGGCACUUGAGGCCACUAAUGUUGAAUCUGCAUUCGUUACUGUCCUAACAGAAAUUUAUCGAAUCCUCGGCAAGAAGUCCCUCAUUCCAAAUGAGGAAGCAGAGUCUGGGAGUUCCUCACUUCUCAAGGGAACAAAACUUGUUGUUCCUGGACAAGAGCCCGAGCCUCAAGCGAGUAGCUGUUGCUGGUCUUCAUAAAAUUGUAGCCUUUUAACCUCCUGCAACUUGGAUUUCUGCUGUUUAUACUUCCAGAGAUGAAUGUAAUACAGCCUGUGGUAGAGUGGGUGAUUAGGUUUACCCUCUUGUAAAAAGCGGUUGGCCGAUGGACUGGCACAGAAUUCUCAGACUCAAAGCACAGUGAUAUGAUACAAUUGACACUUGUACUUGCCUGUAGUAUGUUCACUUUUUUUUUUUUUUUCUUCUGAUUUUUGCCAGCAUAUCGUGGCUGGAAAACUGAAGGCUACUCACCUACACACAUGAAACUAGCCGAGAGCAAUGUGGCGUAUGAGAAAAUGAGCUCGAGUUUGGUUGUGGAACAAUGUUCUAUUUCACUACUUUAUUGAGUUUUAUUUUUUACGAACGGAGCUUUUUCUA